GCUGAUAUAGCUUAGUUUGGUUAGAGCACAUCCUUGGUAAGGGUGAGACCCUCAGUUCGAAUCUGGGUAUCAGCA
rnacentral:tRNA from 1 species